rnacentral:snRNA from 1 species
AUUCUGGCGGAAGAGAGGGUCA